ACAUAUAAUAGAAAGUAACUGAAACUAUACUCAUCCAUUAACAGGUCAGAGAUCACUCCCUAGAGGAGAGAACUAACUAGAAUUAAAUAAUCUUCUGUUCUUGUCUAAUGCGUUUCUUAUUUUUUCUACCAGCUCCAGGCGACGUCCUGACCAGAGAAGAAUAUCUGAGGAUCACACAGAAAGCCAAACUCUCCUACGGCGUGUUCAUCGCCAAGAGCUGCGUCUACGGAGCCUUCGUGGCCUUUUUGGUUUGGAGACUCCAGAGUUCAACUCAGAAGCAGAGGAAGUGAGACCUGAGCGUGAAGGAAAAUGAACGGUUGCUUUAUGUAAAUAAAUCUGAGAACAAAAUAAUCCUAUAAAGCUGUGAGUCGCAGUGCAUUUGUACUCGUACGUAAAUAUAAAAUGUUAAAAUUCUGCACUUAGUCGAUAAAUCAGCUUGUUCUUGUUAAAGAUGUUAAAUCUAUAAACGACCUGAAAACAGAAUAAUCUGCAGCAGACUUGUUUUCACUGCUUUAUAAUUCUCUGUGUUUGUUUGUGUUGCGAUGCUUGUGU